UAAAUGUUUGAUUUUAGCUUAGGUUUUUAUAUUAUUGUUAAAGUUGCAUGAAAGAUAUUUCGUGUUUAGAGAUUUAGCUUUAUGCUAAAUGUUUGAAGUAGAUGUAAUAGUUAUUAUAAGGUUUCUAGUCUCAGCAUAAAGUAUUAAUUAUAUGUGAAAGCAUGAAUUAGUGACAAUAUAGAAAGGUCUGAUAAAUAUUUGUGCCAGCAUUCGCGGUUAUACUUUGGGGCCAAGUAAAAAUAUUUAGAUAGUAGUUAGGCGAGUAAAAUUAAGUUGUUAAUUAUUUACAGUAAAGGGUAAAAUCAAGAUACUGUUAAUGUAAAUGGAAGAAGAAUUUGUGCUGAAGCUAAAAAAAUCCAGUUAAAAACUAGGAUUAGAUACCCUACUAUUCUGGAUUAAAAAUAUAUUGCUAAGUUAGUAUUAGUUAGAUACUUAAAAAUUAAAAAAUUUGGCGGUGGUUUAAUCUCACCAGAGGAACUUGUUUCUUGAUCGAUAUACCACGAAAAAUCUUACUUACUUUUGUAGUUAAUCAGUUUGUAUACCAUCAUUAGCAGGCAAUUUUAAUAAAAUCAAUUGCUAAUUAUUAAGUUAAUUAUUAAAAUUAGAUCAUGGUGCAGCAUAUAGGUAAGUUGAAAUGAGUUACAAUAAUUUUUAUUAUAUGGAUCAGUAAGGUAAUUAUUACUGUAAAGGAGGAUUUGGUUGUAUUUUAAGUUUAAUAAGCUUACAGGACAUUAGUUCUAAACCAUGUACAUAUCGCCCGUCGCUUUCGUUUAUAUCGAAAUAAGUCGUAACAUAGUAGGUGUACUGGAAGGUGCGCCUAGAAUUAU
rnacentral:ncRNA from 1 species